GGCGCCGUAGCCGAGUGGCACAGGCGAGGGAUUGCAAAUCCCUUUACCCGGGUUCAAUUCCCGGCGGCGCCUCCA
rnacentral:tRNA from 1 species